GGUGAUGUAGGAGUGGCCGGUGAUCCAGCCGAUGUCAGCUGUGCACCAGUACACGUCGUCAUGGUGAUAAUCAAAAACGUACUUGAAGUGGAGCCGCUGGUGUAGAGGAUGAACAGUGGGUCCUCAGCGUCCAGCCACUCGGGUUCACACUCUUCAGGAGAGUCUCUCAUCUCCUCAUCCCACCACACAUCACACUCUGAGUUCCAGGGAGUCUGAGCGUACCAGAACAACAGCUCACAUCUCUCCCAGACUCAUGUUGCCACGGGAGACGAGCAGCUUGGACUUCCCUGAUGAAUCUGAGUGCUCCAUGUUGCCCGGCAACCCCAUGAUAUGGAGACCAGGUGGUGCGUUUCCUCAGCCUCUCUGAUAACAGCUGAUAGGUCUUUGCUGUCUGUCUGUGUUUGUGUGUCCAGUGACUCAUAUGCUAAGGGCUGGGUCACAAGGUCAGCAGCAGCUAGUGUAAACAAGGACGGCUGCUGAGAAUGGAAAGACUGUUGCUUUGUAAGCAGGACCUACUUUUCCCUGCACUUCUUCAGAGCCUCGUCCACAAUCUGUUUCAGGUUGAUCAGCUUAUCUCCUCUGUACACACCAUCUGUAUAUUACAAAGGGUUGGAGGAAAAGGGGGGAUGAUGAGGUGUAUCAAUCAGCAGGGAAAAUGUGUUUGAACAAUGAGUCAUUUUACAACUUGAAAAUCAUCUUUAUACCCCCUGAGCACUUCAAAAUAUGGCUGCUGCUGUGUUGGCACAUAAGUUU